GCAUAGCCGAGUUGAGAGACUGAUCGGCCACAAUGGAACUGAGACACGGUCCAUACUCCUACGGGAGGCAGCAGUAGGGAAUCUUCCACAAUGGGCGCAAGCCUGAUGGAGCAACACCGCGUGAGUGAAGAAGGGUUUCGGCUCGUAAAACUCUGUUGUUGAAGAAGAACGUGCGUGAGAGUAACUGUUCAUGCAGUGACGGUAUUCAACCAGAAAGUCACGGCUAACUACGUGCCAGCAGCCGCGGUAAUACGUAGGUGGCAAGCGUUAUCCGGAUUUAUUGGGCGUAAAGCGAGCGCAGGCGGUUGCUUAGGUCUGAUGUGAAAGCCUUCGGCUUAACCGAAGAAGUGCAUCGGAAACCGGGCGACUUGAGUGCAGAAGAGGACAGUGGAACUCCAUGUGUAGCGGUGGAAUGCGUAGAUAUAUGGAAGAACACCAGUGGCGAAGGCGGCUGUCUGGUCUGCAACUGACGCUGAGGCUCGAAAGCAUGGGUAGCGAACAGGAUUAGAUACCCUGGUAGUCCAUGCCGUAAACGAUGAGUGCUAGGUGUUGGAGGGUUUCCGCCCUUCAGUGCCGCAGCUAACGCAUUAAGCACUCCGCCUGGGGAGUACGACCGCAAGGUUGAAACUCAAAGGAAUUGACGGGGGCCCGCACAAGCGGUGGAGCAUGUGGUUUAAUUCGAAGCUACGCGAAGAACCUUACCAGGUCUUGACAUCUUGCGCUAACCUAAGAGAUUAGGCGUUCCCUUCGGGGACGCAAUGACAGGUGGUGCAUGGUCGUCGUCAGCUCGUGUCGUGAGAUGUUGGGUUAAGUCCCGCAACGAGCGCAACCCUUGUUACUAGUUGCCAGCAUUCAGUUGGGCACUCUAGUGAGACUGCCGGUGACAAACCGGAGGAAGGUGGGGACGACGUCAGAUCAUCAUGCCCCUUAUGACCUGGGCUACACACGUGCUACAAUGGCCGGUACAACGAGCAGCUAACCCGCGAGGGUGUGCAAAUCUCUUAAAGCCGGUCUCAGUUCGGACUGCAGUCUGCAACUCGACUGCACGAAGUCGGAAUCGCUAGUAAUCGCGGAUCAGCAUGCCGCGGUGAAUACGUUCCCGGGCCUUGUACACACCGCCCGUCACACCAUGGAAGUUUGCAAUGCCCAAAGUCAGUGGCCUAACCAUU
rnacentral:rRNA from 1 species